rnacentral:rRNA from 1 species
UUGAAAGGGAAACGAUUGAAGUCAGUCGUACCUGCGGAUAAUCAGCCUUUUGGGCAUGAUUCUGUGGAGCGUGAGGAGUUAAACGCCUUCAUGCCUGCAUAUUCGUGUACUUUGGGUGUACUUGCCUGUGUGGUUAGUUAACAUCAAUUCUGGUUAUCAUAAAAUGGUUGGAGGAAUGUAGCUUCGAUUUCGAUUGAAGUGUUAUAGCCUUCGGCAGAUGUGAUGAUUGGGAUUGAGGAUUGCAACGGAUACCCUUCGGGGCUACCUGUCUGAUCUCUGAUCGUUGCUCUGGUGCCGAAAGCGUGCUUACGGUUAUCAAAGUCGAUGGUCAAUAGGUUAGAAUGGGUUAAAUUCGUUAAGGAUGUUGACGUA